UAGUGUAGUUAACACCUGCACUAUUUGACGUUACCUACAGAAGAAGCACCGGCUAACUCCGUGCCAGCAGCCGCGGUAAUACGGAGGGUGCGAGCGUUAAUCGGAAUUACUGGGCGUAAAGCGCAUGCAGGCGGCCUGUUAAGUCAGAUGUGAAAGCCCGGGGCUUAACCUCGGAAUUGCAUUUGAAACUGGCAGGCUAGAGUCUUGUAGAGGGGGUAGAAUUUCAGGUGUAGCGGUGAGAUGCGUAGAGAUCUGAAGGAAUACCAGUGGCGAAGGCGGCCCCCUGGACAAAGACUGACGCUCAGAUGCGAAAGCGUGGGGAGCAAACAGGAUUAGAUACCCUGGUAG
rnacentral:rRNA from 1 species